AUGGCAAUUCCCAGGCAAAGGCCAUCCUUUCUCCAUCCAUCCAGAAGAUUUCAUCUUCAAAGCCGACCUAAAUGUCUCCUUCUUCCGAGAAGCUCACUCUCAUCACCUAAGAACCACCUCUUGUCUCCAACCUUCUGCACAUGCUCAUUGGCACUUCCAUCAGUCAGCACAACCCCUGGAUCUCACAUUCUUGCUCUCAGUUUGAGAAAUGAUUAUUCUAAAUGAAGCAGAUUUUUAUAGAUCAGAGUUGCUGAAAGCAGAGUCCAAAUGACAGGUAUCACGUGUUCUUUGGAGAAAAAGUUCUUCCGUGUAAUUCAGAAAAAUUAAUAAACAUGGUGACACAGUCUGUAUGACAUAGCCCAGGCCUGAAUUAGAGAAGGGGCUCCAGCAGAAAAGGCAGGACAGGAAUCUGGAGUCUGUCACCUGCUCGCCACCUCCCUCCCCUCGCCCCCAACCUUCAGCAUUUCUCUGUUCAUUCCUCUGGUCUAGCAAUGACAAACUCUGGAAUUUUAAUUUGCAUCCAGAAUAAAAAUCUACAAGUAAAAUGCCAUCAGCCUGUAAUAUGACAACCACCUGGACAAUUAUUAGAGAUGAACUGCUGUGAAUUACAUGAAAGACCAAGUGCCCCCCCUUGAACACAAUCCAGCAUCCAGCAGACAGGCUGUGAUGUUCAGCAGCCUCGCCGGCCGUGUUACGGUUGCAUUACAAGGGAAAACAGCUCUGUGCUGAGUUCAUAAUUAUCAUGAUCUACUAUUAUGAUCCAUCACCAACAGAGCAGUUGGUGAAGCCACCAUAAAUCACCGUUAUUUAUAUUGCAACAAAUCACAAGGACGUAUCCUCGAGAACCAUAAUUUAUACUCACUUCACAUCAUAAUUACCUAUAUAUGACUGUCUAGGUAUGUCGCAAAGGUAGGCACAGGAGGAAAAAACUCAUCAGCUACACUGUCUCGAAGAUGUGGCUUCCCUAAGCAAACUUUUAAGCUUUGCAAGGAAGGAGAAGACAAGUCUGGCUAUUUCUAACCCCCCAUAUACCUGGAUCUAUCUGUCCAGGAUCCCCUCAGAUCACACAAAAGUGGCUGAGUUCUAGGGUCCAGCUUUAGGCCGGACAUUAGCCAACUUUAUGACCUCUUGGCUUGACACUAUGUCCUGUGAAAAGCAGCUGAAAAACAUGGGAUGCUUAUCCUGGAGGAAAUUAGACCCACAAGAAUGAAAUUCUGGGAGACCUGUCACAGAACUGUGGGCCUUCAGAGGAGUUUAGCUCUGUCCCCAGUCAUAUGCCAGGGAAACUAGAGAGCCAUGUGCUUUAGACAAGAUUAAGGUCCAGAUGAAAAUUAGAUCAGACUAGCCAUAUCCAGAUACUUUUUUACCCACCAAAUUCUUAGGAUUAGUAAUAAUGCUCUGCCCCGCCAUAUUGGAACACAGGGCAAAAGGAAAAACUGGUGACACUAGUCCUGCCUUUACUUAAAAUUGUGAUAUUUUGCUCAUCAUGGAUUGUUUGCAUUAAUUUAAAUUUUAAAAAAUAUUGCAUUCAUAUAUUGUUUAUCUUGGUUACUGAGUGUUUGGUACCCUCUUAAAUUCCCUUAAAUCCCCCCUUAAAUUCCUCAGCUCCUCAUCCUAGUUGCUCCCUGGAUAAUUUUACAACCAUCCUAUGACAUAAAUACAGUUAUCCCCAUUUUGGUGAUAAAAAAGCUGAGGCUUAGUAACUUGGACAAGUCCUGUUCUGGGCAAUUCUGAAAGGUCACUGAAGAGUGAGAACAAGUACAGACUUCCUUAACUUCCUCCUUUGCUCAUGUUCUACCUCUUAUCACUGAAGGAAGAGGCUGAAUUAGAUCGGUCCCAGAGACCUAGAGAAACAAUGUACCCUAACAGAAAGGAGAAUGUCCUUAUAUCCAGCCCACUUUCUUAUUCACCUUUGAGCAGGCACUCUUAACAAAGGUUCUACAAGGGGUCAGCAGCCUCUCCAAAGUCUACAAACUCCCCUAAAGUUAUGUGAAAAAGUGUGUUCUGGACAGAGGAUCCGUGGUUCUUAACUCUCAAAAAGAUCUCUGAUCCUCCAAAUUUAAGAACACUGCCUUAUAAGAGCUUGGGAAACUUCUAAUGCAGUCUUACAGUAAGGGAUCCACAAAUAAUAUAUUUUCUCUUUCUCACAACCAAGGAUUCUCCAUGAAAACAUGUAGUAACUAGAGUCAAAGUUCUAACAGAAGCCUUGUAUCACAUUGUCCUCUCAAAGUUCAGCUGAGCAUACAUUUUUAACAGUUCCCAAUGAAAGUAUUUUAUAGGUCACUUACUUUCGAAAGUCCAAUCUUAAUCCCAUUGUAUUUAUAUACUGAUAAAAGUGAGACUCAGAGAAACCAUGUGACUUUCCCCCUGUCCCACAGCUGAGUCACCUGAGGGCUGAGGUUAAAGCCAAAGCUCGUCUCUUGAGCCCCUUUCUCCACUG
rnacentral:lncRNA from 1 species